rnacentral:rRNA from 1 species
CCUACGGGGGGCAGCAGUCGAGAAUCAUUCACAAUGGGGGAAACCCUGAUGGAGCGACGCCGCGUGGGGGAAUGAAGGUCUUCGGAUUGUAAACCCCUGUCAUGUGGGAGCAAAUUAAAAAGAUAGUACCACAAGAGGAAUAGACGGCUAACGCUGUGCCAGCAGCCGCGGUAAUACAGAGGUCUCAAGCGUUGUUCGGAAUCACUGGGCGUAAAGCGUGCGUAGGCGGGUUCGUAAGUCGUGUGUGAAAGGCGCGGGCUCAACCCGCGGACGGCACAUGAUACUGCGAGACUAGAGUAAUGGAGAGGGAACCGGAAUUCGCGGUGUAGCAGUGAAAUGCGUAGAUAUCGCGAGGAACACUCGUGGCGAAGGCGGGUUACUGGACAUUAACUGACGCUGAGGCACGAAGGCCAGGGGAGCGAAAGGGAUUAGAUACCCGUGUAGUC